rnacentral:rRNA from 1 species
CUACGGGCGGCUGCAGUGAGGAAUAUUGCACAAUGGGGGGAACCCUGAUGCAGCAACGCCGCGUGGAGGAUGACGCAUUUCGGUGUGUAAACUCCUUUUAUAUGUCAAGAAAAUGACGGUAGCAUAUGAAUAAGCACCGGCUAACUCCGUGCAGCAGCCGCGGUAAUACGGAGGGUGCAAGCGUUACUCGGAAUCACUGGGCGUAAAGGACGCGUAGGCGGGUUGGAAAGUCAGGUGUGAAAUCCUACAGCUUAACUGUAGAACUGCACUUGAAACAUCUAAUCUAGAGUAUGGGAGGGGGAGAUGGAAUUAGUGGUGUAGGGGUAAAAUCCGUAGAUAUCACUAGGAAUACCUAAAGCGAAGGCGAUCUCCUGGAACAUUACUGACGCUAAGGCGUGAAAGCGUGGGGAGCAAACAGGAUUAGAUACCCUCGUAGUC